rnacentral:rRNA from 1 species
AUUGAACGCUGGCGGCAUGCCUUACACAUGCAAGUCGAACGGCAGCGGGCCCUUCGGGGUGCCGGCGAGUGGCGAACGGGUGAGUAAUGCAUCGGAACGUACCCGGGAGAGGGGGAUAACCGGCCGAAAGGCUGGCUAAUACCGCAUGAUCUCGGAAGAGCAAAGCGGGGGACCUUCGGGCCUCGCGCUCUCGGAGCGGCCGAUGUCCGAUUAGCUAGUUGGUGAGGUAAAGGCUCACCAAGGCGACGAUCGGUAGCGGGUCUGAGAGGACGAUCCGCCACACUGGGACUGAGACACGGCCCAGACUCCUACGGGAGGCAGCAGUGGGGAAUCUUGGACAAUGGGCGCAAGCUGGAUCCAGCAAUGCCGCGUGGGUGAAGAAGGCCUUCGGGUUGUAAAGCCCUUUCGGUGGGGAAGAAAUCGGUCAGGCGAAUAGUCUGGCUGGAUGACGGUACCCGCAGAAGAAGCACCGGCUAACUACGUG